AGCAUGCGAACUUUUCAUGUUGCGAUUUGACUGAUGUUGCUGUAGUAAGUUGUGUGUGCGUGUAAAUGUGCGCCACCAAUAAUGAGAUCGGUUUGAAAAUAUAUUGCUGUAUAACUGAAUUAAAUCAAAAUGAAAAAUUUUACAGUGAUUGUUAAAUGCCAAAUUGAACUGAUCUCAUUAAAUGUGAAAUUCAAGUAUAUUUAUACUGUGGACUAAAUUUUAAUACAUGAAAAUAAUGAGAUAUGGCCAUAAUAGUUGGAAAAAGUUACUAUUCUUAAAGCAGUUUUUUUUAUUUCACAGUUUAGAUCUAUUUUCUGCAGUUGGUUGAAAUAGCUUAGGACCUGAGUAUGGAGUAUGUAAUGUCUCUCAGUUAACAGAGGAAGAAAAACGUAUACUGUCCCGUGUUGCUUUGUGCAGAUUUCUUCUUGUUCUGCCUUCAGCCAACAUGGAAAAUAAAUGGCUGAUUUACACAACAACAAAAAGUGCUGCUUUUUGGAUUUGUUUUGGUUUCAUUCACCAAAACAGCAAUUUCCUGCCUUGGAGAAUAAGAGAUUGUUAUUCUUAUUUGAAUCAGCAAAUCAAGCUCCCUGCUUAAACAGGGAACACAGGCUCAUUGCCAUGGAUGACUGGGACCAGGAAUUUGAAAAGGACCUGGAGGGGCAUGUGUUACAAACUCAGACUCUGUAUACCCCCAUCCCGCUUCACUCAUUACUACCUCCAAGCAAUGCUUGAGAAGAAACUUGAGAAGAACCUUGAGACUACUCCCAUCACCCUCCCUUCCCUUUGUAGAAAGGGGAAUGGGAAACUUUGUUGAGAAAGUCCUCAGUAGAACGAUUUCCAUGUUGACAGUUCCUAAUGCAGUGAGGAGAACCUAAGAACUGAACCCAAGUGAAGGCCUCACCUGCUGAGAAAUGGGGAAGAACUAAAAACACUAAAUAAAUCAAUAAGAAGCACACAGCCACCCAAACAAGCAUCUUGCUUUCUUCUGCGAUCUGUUAUAAAGACAUUUUUGCUUAGCAAUCUGGUUACCACUAAAUCAUAAUCACAACAGAAGACAGAUUCCAAGGGUGGAGAUAUUUGGAAAAGCACCCGAGAAUCGGUGUCUUGCAACCAUAUAAAGUUUCUGAGGAUGCUCCUUCGCUGUGCUAAGCUUUCUUCUAGCUCCUGUGACAUCCUAGAACUUUAAAGCUGAGGGGACAUUAGAGUGAUGGAUAUGAUGUAUAAUUGGACUGGCUACUUAGUUGCCAUUAGAAAUAUAUUGUAAAGGACUUUAAUAGUAAAAUGCAAAGACAUUAUUUAGCACUUGAUUUGAUGUUGGGCUAGGAGAUGUGCAAAGAAAUUUAACCAGACAUUUCAAAGGAAAGAGCUACUCCCUGCUCUUGCCUUCUGGAAAAAUUAGUUUCCAUAAUCAUAAUAAAGUAAAAUGUGGCAGCAACAAUCCCUAACUCUAACCUCAUUUCCCAUGAUCAAAAGUAUUCAUGAAGUAUCUCUCUGGGCAAACAUGUUAAAGCAUGCUAAAGAAGUUACGGCCAAUGCAGAAAUAUGAAUAAUAGAUCUUAAAUAUAUACACUAAGCAAAUGAAUGUUUAUAGUACAUGUUCUGAUUUUUAGUAGGUCUAAGAAAUUUGAGAAGGUGAUCAAAUGGUAAAUUACUUCAAAAACCAUACUGAGGAUAGAGUUUCAGAUGCUGCUGGUGACACAAACAUUUGAAUUUCUACAAAGGUCUGAGAAGACUUAGCUUUUCUUCCAGAGGUCCAG
rnacentral:lncRNA from 1 species